rnacentral:lncRNA from 1 species
CAGCUUUUGUCUUGAGCAGCACAGCAAAUGACUCAGGAUGACCCACACAAAAGGUGGCCAGCCUCAAGCCAACCCUGCCACAAAAAGUUUCCUGCAGUCCCCUGUGCUGUUCAUUUUGCCUCAGAAUCACCCUGGAAGUUAUCCCAGGCCAGGGACAGCUUCCUCACCUGCCUUGAAGGAGGGGAAGGGGACAGGCUCUUGCAGGAGAAAUCAGAUGAGAAAAUAGAACUUGUGCAGCCCUGGAACCUCCUUGGUGCAGUGGAAAAGCCUCACUCCCCAUACCCACAGCUUGUGAAGAGAGAGGCUGGUUUAAACACUUCCCUUUAUUCACUGCACUUAGAUCUGUGCCAACGUGUGUUUUAACUUUAUUAAUAUUGCAGUAAUUUCAUUAUUAAUAGAAAUGUGUGCAUUAAUUUUUAAUGUUAUAUGAAUAUUGAUAUUACAGAUAUGUUAUAGAAUAAUGUUGAUAUCCCACCACACUCGAGGCAUUUCCAUGUUUCUUGCCAGAUUUUGGGUUAGCAGAGAGGCCUUGCAGGAAAGGCCACCACCACAUAUAAUGAGUUGCUGCCUUAAUUUGAUUACAUGCUUAUUAGGAAAGGGGAAGCAAGGUGUUUGGGAUUUGAGGGUGCACAUCUGGCUGAGCCAGCACACACCUGUGAGCCUGGGGGAUUGCAGGGAAGGCUCUGCUGCUGAGCACCAGCAACCCAAGCUGAAACUCAGCUUUUAUCUGCAUCUCCCUGCCCACAGUUCACCCCUGGGAAAUCUUGCCACUUCAAAAAAACAGUGUUACAAGUCUUUGAGAGACGAGAACUAGUAACUGGAAGGAGGUUAACUGGCUGAAGGUUAUCAUGAGGUUUGAGAAGAUAAAAGGGAACAAUCCAUACCUCUGCAGAGAGCACUUUAAGGUAAGAAAAGUGAUUAUUGCUGGUAUUGUUAGUUCGUUGUGGUGUGGGAAACAUUAUGCUUGCUGUGACCUCAAAGUGUGUUUGAUGAUCACAUAACAUUCCAUGUCAAGGGGUGCUUUGCUAAUUUUCCUCAUCAGGACAAUCCACCAAAGCAAAGGAUGAUACCAGUAAGUGUGACCCCAGACUGAGGUCCUUGCCAGUGCCUCCCCUGCCCCCAUAGCUCUGGGAUUUGUUUCUGCACAGAUGGAUAUUCAAAAGAAACAGAAGGUGCUAAGAAUCCCUUGAUUUAAACAAGAUGUCUCAGGAAUUUGAUCUUGACAAUGUGUAACGUGUUUUCCAGAAGGAAUUAAAAAAUUGCAAGAAGAGAAUAGACUGUGCAAAUGCAAGAGGAUUUUGAUAACAGCUAAAUCAAUGUGCCUUUCUCUGUUACAAAGAUAUGAAAUGGCAAACCAGCAGGGGUACAGUCGUUAGACUGAUCAAUAAUUCUGAGCACAGGAAUGGAGAUGAGUUUAAUGCACAUCAGCAAAUCACCUGUGGUGUCUCAAGGAGAGUCUUGAGAGCAGGCAGACCCAGCCCAGUGCAGCAGGACACAUUCCAAUGAUUUGGCAUGACAUGUGACACGUCUGCCUUGGAGGAUGGUGGCAGCCUUUGGGUCACUCUGCCCGGUCAUCAGGGCUCGGAAAGGCUGAAGCUGAGUAAUCCUGGUGCACUAAAGGGAGGAGGAUGGAUGGCAGCUUGUUUUGUGACAAGGAAUACAGUGCAGGAGAGGAGGGAAGAGCAAUAUAACCACAGAGGACAGGUGUAGAUCUCCCUGUGGCAGGGGUUUCCCAGAAAUCUGACUGUGAGCAGCUUAGUGGGGCAGAAGAUGAAGGCAAGCACAAUGUCAAAAGGACAGAAAGUCUCCUCUGA